rnacentral:rRNA from 1 species
GACGAAGGAUGCAAGCGUUAUCCGGAUUCAUUGGGUUUAAAGGGUGCGUAGGUGGCCUUAUAAGUCAGUGGUGAAAUCUCUCGGCUUAACUGAGAAAUUGCCAUUGAUACUGUAGGGCUUGAGUACAGUUGCUGUGGGCGGAAUAUGACAUGUAGUGGUGAAAUACAUAGAGAUGUCAUAGAACACCGAUUGCGAAGGCAGCUCACAAAACUGUAACUGACACUGAGGCUCGAAAGUGCGGGGAUCAAACAGG